rnacentral:rRNA from 1 species
UACGUAGGUGACAAGCGUUGUCCGGAUUUACUGGGCGUAAAGAGCGCGCAGGCGGUCGUUCAAGUCGAGUGUGAAAGCCCCCGGCUCAACUGGGGAGGGUCAUUCGAUACUGAUCGACUCGAAGGCAGGAGAGGGGAAGUGGAAUUCCCCGGUGUAGUGGUGAAAUGCGUAGAUAUCGGGAGGAACACCAGUGGCGAAGGCGACUUCCUGGCCUGUUCUUGACGCUGAGGCGCGAAAGCUAGGGGGAGCAAACCGG